rnacentral:circRNA from 1 species
AUCCUGAUAACUUAAGUGACUCUCUCUUUUCCGGUGAUGAAGAAAAUGCUGGGACUGAGGAAAUAAAGAAUGAAAUAAAUGGAAAUUGGAUUUCAGCAUCCUCCAUUAACGAAGCUAGAAUUAAUGCCAAGGCAAAAAGGCGACUAAGGAAAAACUCAUCCCGGGACUCUGGCAGAGGCGAUUCGGUCAGCGACAGUGGGAGUGACGCCCUUAGAAGUGGAUUAACUGUGCCAACCAGUCCAAAGGGAAGGUUGCUGGAUAGGCGAUCCAGAUCUGGGAAAGGAAGGGGACUACCAAAGAAAGGUGGUGCAGGAGGCAAAGGUGUCUGGGGUACACCUGGACAGGUGUAUGAUGUGGAGGAGGUGGAUGUGAAAGAUCCUAACUAUGAUGAUGACCAGGAGAACUGUGUUUAUGAAACUGUAGUUUUGCCUUUGGAUGAAAGGGCAUUUGAGAAGACUUUAACACCAAUCAUACAGGAAUAUUUUGAGCAUGGAGAUACUAAUGAAGUUGCGGAAAUGUUAAGAGAUUUAAAUCUUGGUGAAAUGAAAAGUGGAGUACCAGUGUUGGCAGUAUCCUUAGCAUUGGAGGGGAAGGCUAGUCAUAGAGAGAUGACAUCUAAGCUUCUUUCUGACCUUUGUGGGACAGUAAUGAGCACAACUGAUGUGGAAAAAUCAUUUGAUAAAUUGUUGAAAGAUCUACCUGAAUUAGCACUGGAUACUCCUAGAGCACCACAGUUGGUGGGCCAGUUUAUUGCUAGAGCUGUUGGAGAUGGAAUUUUAUGUAAUACCUAUAUUGAUAGUUACAAAGGAACUGUAGAUUGUGUGCAGGCUAGAGCUGCUCUGGAUAAGGCUACCGUGCUUCUGAGUAUGUCUAAAGGUGGAAAGCGUAAAGAUAGUGUGUGGGGCUCUGGAGGUGGGCAGCAAUCUGUCAAUCACCUUGUUAAAGAG